GGGGUUGUAGCUCAAUGGUAGAGCACUUGCCUAGCAUGUAUGAGGCACUGGGUUCUAUACGCAGCACCACA
rnacentral:tRNA from 1 species